AGUGACAGCAAUGGUGGAAGGGGAAUGAUGACGAAUGGUGGUGUUCUUCCUGGAUAAAAAAGAAAGAAGAUCAGAAACAAAUAUUUCACAGCGCAACUGAACGCAAAGUUUGUAAAAGAUGUUGGUCUCAGGGGUCGGCGGCUCUGGGCAGAUGUCAAUGCCACAUCCAACCGACGGAACCUGAUUAAGAGAGGAAAAUAAAUCAGAUUCACACAUUUCUGGAUUUUUCACCAAAAACUUCAAACCUCAUUUUCACAAGAAUUUCCAUGUGCUUACAAACAAUACAAAUCAUGGAAACCCCUUGAGCCAAAUAUUCAAUAAAGGCUACAAUUUGCCCAGCGCGGCUCCCACUGACA